CGUGAGUGGCGGACGGGUGAGUAACGCGUGGGUAACCUGCCUCAUACAGGGGGAUAACAGUUAGAAAUGACUGCUAAUACCGCAUAAGACCACAGCACCGCAUGGUGUAGGGGUAAAAACUCCGGUGGUAUGAGAUGGACCCGCGUCUGAUUAGGUAGUUGGUGGGGUAACGGCCUACCAAGCCGACGAUCAGUAGCCGACCUGAGAGGGUGACCGGCCACAUUGGGACUGAGACACGGCCCAA
rnacentral:rRNA from 1 species